CUGCAACCUUGCUUUUAGCAGCAUGAAGAAGGGGAAGAGAGGAGGCUGUUGUAGGAUGAGCUCCCAGACUUCAUUGAAGCUUUUCCAUGCCCACAGGCUAUGAAUAUUUUUGAAACAUUUUUCUCAUGGCUUGUUUCUAUCUGCCUCCCCCAAAGUCUACAAUAGCUUUUAGUUCUGAUUCAUUGCAAUGUGAUGUAUUCAUUGCAAUGUGAAUAUAUAUAUAUGUACUCACUACAUUUUCCAGUGGAACAAGAGAAGAUGGCAGUAUAGGAAGAGGAAUAGCACGAGUGAAGGACUGGAAGAGGGACAGAUCCCUGCGUGUUUGCACAAUGGACAGUGUAAGGGUAUGGUGAAAGUGCAGGUGAGCAGCAUGGAGUGACUCAUUUCUCUAGAAGAAACCUGGGCCUUGCAUGAAAGGGGCCUUGUAUGAAACGUGGCAGGGUUGUGAAGAGGAGAGAAAUGUGUGGUAUGCAAACCAGGAGGCCAAAGAAGUGCCAAAGAAUGGCAAGGAGGGCCAUUGGUGUGGACCGCAUCUCACAUCAUUUGAAUCAGUAAAGAAAUCCUUAUUGGGUAGCAACAAGAGGAAGAAAGAAUGAGGCACACGUGAUAGCGCUGUCAUGGACACCAUGGGUGCAAAAGUGGAUGAGGAUACUGAGACUCAAAGUGGUGAAGAGACUUAUCCAAUGUCAUAAGCUGGGAGCUAGGGUAUGACCCAAGCAGAACCUGUACACUGGAGCCCAGGAUUACUGACAAAGGACACACCUUCUCUAGCCCCUCCUGGUGGACUUCCUCAGCUACGAAGUGCUAUUAUCAUCUCCUAGAGCUGUGGUGAGAAUUAACUAAAAUAACAUGGAUGAAGCUCUUGCGCGGCACCUGGCACAUGCCCAACCUGACUGCUGUGUUCUGCCCUGAGUCUGCAGAGGCUGACCCUGGCCAGGAAAGUGGUUGGAAAAGCAUUUUUGCAGAGAGGCAGCCUGAAGGUGGUGGCUCUAUCGGGGCAAAGAACUGUAAGCAGAGACAAAAUGAAAGCCCUCUAGGCCCACAAUUGAUUCUAACGGCUGUGAGGGAAUGAGCUUCAACUACUGUUGAUGGGAGGGACUGUGUGCCAGGCACUGUGCUAGGGACUCUCAUGCAUGAUCUCAUUCAUCUUCUGCAUAACCCAAUGAGGUAUGAUCUACUAUCAAGUGUCUACAUUUGUAUUGGAUUGACUUAACAUCUCUGGAAAGCCAGAAAUCAGAGAUACAGAGAAGUAUUGAAAUGCUGAAAUGCUAUGAAUUUACUAUAAGAGAACAUUCUUCACUGAAGAGAUCUCUAGCUGCCAAAACACCCUUUCAUGCGUGAAAUACCGGGGCAAAGAGGAAGGAAAAGAGAAGAGUAUGACUCUAGGAACCAUGUUGCAGAAAUGCCAAAGGGUGGGACAAACAAAGUUACUAAUGUGGAGAAAGAAGAUUAUCAUGUGUGGAACGAAGGACAAUAUGAACAUUAAAUAAUGCCCUGACUCAUUCCAAAAAGAAUCUGAGAUGACCAAUAAAGCCAUUUUUAAUUGUUUAUUAGUGAACAAUAGAUUAUGAGUGCUAAAGGGAUUCAGGAAGAAGAAAGAUCAGUGCAGAGUAGAGAAGUCUGAUGGAUGCAUUGAAGAAGCUAUGCUUGAGCUGAAAUGACAAGAGAGCUGUUUUUCGCUUUCAGAAUUAUUAUGUGGCAAUGGUAAUUGACAACAGAGAAGCUGAAGGGAGGAAGUCACUUUAUGGGAGCAGAGUCACUCUCAAGUAAUAGCUGGCCAUACAGAUUGCUCUGGACCAAGGGUGAAUGUGAAGAAGAAAAGACCGGCCAGCAACACAAUGGAAUAUCUAGAGUCAUAUUGAGGGAAAUACUUAGAUUGCUGAUUUCUUAGUGGAUUUCACAAGCAGAGCUGCUUGUGAGCAGAAUGGUGAAGUAGGGGCAUGUGUUUCUGGGGUCUUAUUCCAUGGCUUCCUUCCACCUACAAGAGUCAUCCUCACGGAGUACUUGCAUUUCAGUAGAAGAAAAAAAUCUUAUAGAUGGAAGGGAAGGAUGGGGUUCCUGCUUUAGGAAGAUUGGCAUGGUCAUAAGUCUGAGCAAGGAAGGGCCCAGGGCAGCUCAGAGCUCUGAGCAGGAAGCUCUAAUUAGUUACUGAAUAUGGUGCAAGCACAAAGAGAGCGUAGUGUUUUCCCUUUCCAUCUGUGGAAGUCUUGGCCAUGCUUACUUGGGCGUUCCUUCCAGGAAACAUUUAUUUUUCCUCUUUAAUGCCCUCCUCAUAUCUAUGCUCUCAGUAGAGGAUGCCACUGCUUCUGGCACCUGGAUAAUAGAAUGAAGCUGAUUGGGAUGGAAACAGAAAAGUCAUCUCUCAGAACAAUGAGCAGAGACUGAAACUCCCUUGUACCCAGUCCCUGUGCACUGCUGUUCAUAGCCAAAUGGGCAAGGCCUUGCCAAAUGUCAUGUUGAGGUGAGGCCCUAAGUGAUAGAAAAAUAAAAAAUGACUAUGGCCACUUGCAUGUUCAGAGAAUUCAGUUUAGAAAAUGCUAUGCUGGGAGGAUCUCUCUUAAUAUCUUGUUUGCAUCAGAAUGUUCAAGUUGCAAUAUAUGUUUUUGUUUUGUGUAUUUAUUUAUUUUCCUCUACUCUAUUCUGUUAAGUCUUUUAGGGCAAAGGUAGGGUAGUCUAUACUCCCUGCGUUAUCCAUAAUGCCUAGCACUGUGUCUUGUACAUAAAAGGUCAUAAUAAAUACCUGUUGGCUAGAUAGAUGAAUGGAUAGAGUGCCUCAUUUAGAAGCAUUAUACUUCUAUGGAAAAAAAUUUUUAAAUGUAUUUUUUUCUAUGAGAUAACACAGUUCCUGAAUAGGUCAUGGGCAGGUGCUAUUCAAGUUUGCGAAGGAAAGGUUUUCCUAGAGUUAGGGUAAUUUUUUCCUCAAAUAAGAAAAACCUACAGUAAAUAAUUACUCUCCAUAUUAUCUUUAGGUUUCUUGCCAGUAUUAACAUCUUUUUUAUUGUAAGUGAUGAUAUUGUCUGUGAGAACAUUACAGUAGGUUAGUAUCCUGGGUUAAGCUAAGUGUUGUUGAAAAUAAUCCUGGACAUCCAAACAGGAAGAGAGGAAGUCAAACUAUUCCUGUUUGCAAAUAACAUGAUUCUAUAUCUAGAAAACCCUGUAAUGUCAGCCCCAAGGCUCUGUGAGAUCAGAGAUAAAUAACCUCAGCAAAGUCAACAUACAAACAUCAGUAGCAUUCCUUAUACAAACAACAUCCAAGCUGAUGGCCAAAUCAGGAUGCAAUCCCAUUCACAAUUGCCCCCCCAAAAAUAUAAAAUACUUAGGAAUACAGCUAACCAGGGAUGUGAAAGAUCUCUAUAAUAAGAAUUACAAAACACUGCUCAAAAAAUCAUAGAUGACACCAAAAAUUGGAAAAAUAAUCCAUGCUCAUGGAUUGGAUGAAUCAAUAUCAUUAAAAUGGCCAUACUGCCCAAAGCAAUUUACAGAUUUCACAGAUUCAGUGCUAUUCCUAUCAAAAUAUCAAUGACAUUUUUCGUGGAAUUAGAAAAAACUAUUUUAAAAUUGACAUGGAACCCAAAAGGGACCCCGAAUAGUCGAGGCAAUCCUAAACAAAAAGAACAAAGCUGGAGGUAUUAUAUUACCCAAUGUCAACAUAUACUACAGGGCUAUAGUAACCAAAAGAGCAUGGUACUGGUACAAAAACAGACACAUAGACCAAUAGAACGUAAUAAAGAGCCCAGAAAUAAUGUCACACCACUUACAACCAUCUGAUCUUCAAUAAAGCUGACAAAAACAAACAAUAGGGAAAAGAUUCCUCAUUCAAUAAAUGGUGCUGGGAUAACUGGCUAGUCAUAUGCAGAAGAUUGAAACUGGACACCCCACCUUACACUACAUACAAAAAUCAGUGUAAGAUGAAUUAAAGGCUUAAAUGUAAAACCUAAAACUAUAAAAACCCUGAAAGAUAACCUAGGAAAUACCAUUCUGGACAUAGAACUUGGCAAAGAUUUCAUGAUGAAGACAACAAAAGCAAUUGCAACAAAAACAAAAAUUGACAAAUGGGAUCUAAUUAAACUGAAGAGCUUCUGAACAAAAAAAGAAACUAUCAACAGAGUAAACAGACAACCUACAGAAUGGGAGAAGAUAUCUGCAAACUAUGCAUCCAACAAAGGUCUAAUAUCCAGAUGCUGUAAGGAACUUAAAUUUAUAAGCAUAAACAAACAACCCCAUUAAAAAGUGGGCAAAGGACAUGAAGAGAUACUUUUCAAAAGAAGACAUAUAUGUGGCCAACAAGCAUAUAAAAAAUGCUCAACAUCACUAAUCAUUAGAGAAAUGCAAAUUAAAACCACAGUGAAAUACCAUCCCACACCAGUCAGAAUGGCUAUUAUUAAAAGUUGAAAAAUAAUAGGUGCUAGCAAUGUUGUGGAGAAAAGGGAACACUUAUACACCACUGAUGGGAAUGUAAAUUAGUUCAGCCACUGUAGAAAGCAGUUGGGUGAUUCCUCAAAGAACUUAAAAAAACAGAGUUACCAUCCAACCUAGCAACCCCAUUAUUGGGUAUAAUCCAAAGGAAUAUAAAUUGUUCUAUCAUAAAGACACAUGCACAUGUAUAUUCAUUGCAGCACUAUUCGCAAUAAGAAAGAUAUGGCAUCACCCUAAAUGCCCAUCAGUGGUAGACUGGAUAAAGAAAAUGUGGUGCAUAUACACCAUGGAAUACUAUGCAGCCAUAAAAAACAAUGAGAUCAUGUCCUGUGAAGCAACAUGGAUGGAUCUGGAAGCCAUUAUCCUAAGCAAACUAACACAAGAACAGAAAACCAAAUAUGGCAUGUUCUUACAAGUGGAAGCUAAACAAUAGGAACACAUGGAUAUUAGAAGGGUAACAGAAGAUAUUGGGGCCUACUUGAGGGUGGAAAGUGGGAGGAAGGAGAGGAUCGGAAAAAUACCUAUUGGGUACUAUGUUUAUUACCUGGAUGAUAAAAUUAUCUGUCACCAAACCCCUGUGACAUGCAGUUUACCUAUAUAACAAACCUGCACAUGUACCCCUGAGCCUAAAAUAAAAGUUUAAAAAAAAAAAAGAAAAUACACCUGGACCCUAUUUUGAAAGACAUACUGUAGACUUGAGGGAGGAAGAGCAGAGGGAUGGAAAGGGCCCCGAAUUACCCACAAGCCAUGUGAAUGCUUAAGCAGUCAUGGACCACAAUUCUCACCACACACACACACACACACACACACACACACACACACACACACACACAGGUCUGAACCCUUACCCCUGUCUACUACUUAUUGGAGCUUGGUAGAAAAAAAGUUGUGAGUGACAGAAAAGUGAGAAAAAGAGAAGAAGAAGAAAAAUUGGAAAGUGUGGAAGAAAAAGUGGCAAAUGCAAGCAGCCCUUAAUGGAACUGUGCUGAAUUGAGAGACAGCAGAAGGUAACAGCUGGCUGGGACUUGGCCAUGAAAGGUGGAAUGUGAGGAGACAAAUGAAAUGGAAAUGCAGGAAAGAAUGGAGUGGCAAAGGAGGCUGGAGAUGGGGCAGAGGAUAGCAAGGGGAGAGAAGGAAGCACAGAAAGGGUGUGGGGGACAGGCCAGAGAGUAGAAGGCUAGAUGGAACUGACUGAUGCCACCAGUCAGAGAUGGAGACCAUUAACAAUGUGUAGGGAAACCCCUGCCUUCCCAAUAAUGAAAAUGCAGGUUUAAUCAGUACCAAGGAACACUGUGAAGUAAGGGCAUUGACUUGGGAAGUGAAAGCCGAAGAUAGAGCAAACCCCAUACGGCAUAUCCUAACUCGCCAUUUUAACAGCAGAAAGACUCGAAAAUACAAAGCAAAGGAUUAUCCAAAGGGCUUUUUAAAAUAAUGCUUAAAAUUUUAAUCUUGUAAAUAUAUUUCCCUUCCCAGUAUGAAAAUAAUUCCGAGUAUAAUCUUUAUUUACUUUCCCCUUUUUAUUUUAGAAGAGUAAACAUAGCUUUAAGAAUUAAAAAAAUCAGUUAAUAAUCUGACUUUUAAGUCAGCUGUAAAAAUGUAAGUUUCUAGCUCUGCCACUUUUUAGUAGUGUGACUUUGGGCAAAUUGCUCAAAAACUCCAAAUUCUUGUUUCUUUACCUACAAAAAAGGGACAAUAAUACAUACCUCCUAUGAUAGUAGAAAAUUACGUGAAAAUAUACUCCAAGUAUCUCAGAGGGCUUGAUUUCCAGAAAGCGCCCAAGCUCAAUCAAUAGUGACGUUUACUAUCCACGCAGCCAGUUCUACUACUGGGAGUUGGUUGGUGCUGAUAAAGCUUUUUGUCAGACUUCUCACAAUUUCCAUUGUGAGAAGAUGUAGCUUCCAAUUAACUCUGUCACUGAUUGUUGGGUAACUUUGGGCCAAAUGCUGUUCCUUAAUGAAUGUGGGUGUGAAACUUAUUAAGAUUAAUGACUGUCACAGCUGUUAGCCAGAUGUUUACAUAAUUCCCUCUGUUUUACAGCAAUCAUAUCAGAGGAAAGGGGUUGAAUGAUAGAAUUAGAAAAAUAAGUACAAUAUUGUGGGAAUGAAUAAAUGUUGUUUUGGAGGGUAGGAGAUUAAAAUCCUAAAUGUAUUUUGAUUAGGCUAAUAUUAAAAAUUAGCAUCUGUAAAUCAGUAAUCUAAUUGAAGGAAUUUUUUAACACAAGUGACUGGUGGAGGGGACACAGCAUGGGAGGGCAUGCUUACAGCAAGAGCUCCAUUGAUUAAAUAGUCCCCUGCAGAACACAGAGAGUUAAAUACGUCUUUAAUAGCCUCCAGCAUGAAAGGGCAAAUCAUUUGUUUUAAUUGAGGAAGGAUAAAAUAUUUUUGCUUUACACAUAUAUGUUCUAUUUUAGCAUCAUAGUUAUUUUUAUAGCUGUUAUAACUUCACAAAACCUAAUAGGAAAAUAAAUCUGAAUCCAGAAGAGUUCAAUACUUUCCAGAGGAGUCUAGUAAAUAAAAACUCUACACUGACUGACUGAUCUUAUUCAUGCACUGCUCCUAAACCCAAACUCUCAAGUGAAGGGAAAAGAGGUUAAUUCGUUGGAAUAAAUUCAUGGGAUUUUUUUUUAAAGACACAUCCUGAAUCAAAGUGAUUAAAACAACAAAUGGAUAAAGGGUAGAGCUGUGAGAGGACAAGGUUUGCAUUACUGAGCAUCUUGAUUAUGUGGGGAAGAUGGGAAACAGAUCUUGCCCAUUCUGGUCUCAAACUACUAAAUCCUGAGAAUGCCAAGAGGCGAGUCACUGAAGUCAGAAGUUGGAAACAUGGCUAAGCUGUCCAGAGUGUGGAACACAUGGUCUCUGAAGGUUUUUAUUAGUGUGUGGGUGAGAGUUCAGAAGCUCUACUAAUUACUUUUGUUUUCAGAAUUUAUAAAGUUAAGACAGAAAGCGGAAUAUUAACACUUCACUUCCUCGUGCAGUCAUUAAUUUACUCACUUAGCAUACAUUUAUUCAUAGAAGCUUAUUGGUACCAAGUAUACCCUCAAUGAGCAACCAACCCAAAAUUGCAAAAGGGAGAUCAAACAGGGAAGCUGUGGUAGGAAGUAUCAUGGCCUCUUCAAAGAUGUCUAUAUACUAAUCACAGAAUUUAUGUAUAUGUGAUGCUGUAUGUCAAGGGAAGAUUAAGGUGUGCAGAUGGAAUUAAGGUUGCUAAUCAGCUGACCUUAAAAUAGGAGUACUAUCUUGGAAUAUCUGGGUGGGCUCAAUGUAAUCACAAAUGUUCUUAACAGAUAGAAGAAGAAGGCAGAGGAGUCAGUGUUGGAGUGAUGCCAUGUGAGAAAGACUCAACUGGCCAUUGCUGGCUUUGAAAAUGGAAGGAGGCAUAAGCCAAGGAAUGAAUGCAGGUGCCUCUAGAACCUGGAAAAAGCAAGGAAACAAAUUCUCCUCUAGAACCUCCAGAAGGAAUGCAUUCCUGCCAACACCUUGAUUUUUAGCUCGGUGAGACCCAUGCUGGACUUCUGACCUGCAGGAUUGCAAGAUAAGAUAUUUGACUUAUUUUAAGAUGCUAAGUUUGCAGUAAUUUGAUAUGGUAGCCAUCGGAAACUAAUACCGAUGCCAAAGCAGUAAAGCAGGAAAGCACUCCAAAAUCACAGGAGUGAGAGGAGCAGAAAUGUCCUAGGAGAAGACAAUGUUUCCUUUUGAAAAGGAAAGUUUACUGGCAACUUCCAUUUGAAUUUCUUAAUUUCUUUCCUCAGUGGCAGUCACUACUUCCAAGGUGGCAGGUUCCAGAGCUGAUUCAUUAUAUAAUCUUUUCUCAGGAGUAUUCUAGCCACCUUUAAAGAAGCUAGGGCCAUUUUCCUGACACUGCAUCAAGGGGUAAGGUUAGUGGUAAAGAAACCAUGCGGUAGGAAAGGCCAACUUUCUCCCUACAUAAUCCAAUCGCAUUAUCUCCAGACUUGCUCACCCUCUGCUCUUUGCAUACUGCAGCUCCAGAGCUUUCAUACCUACAGACUUCCUGGAGUUAAGACUAAAACAAGAGUUGUGCUACAGACUACCGUUCCUAUUAUCAUUUUUUGUGUCCUGCUGAGUCCUCCCCUCUUGGCAACUUCAGGACCACCCACUGGGAAGAUAAUAUACAACCCAUCAGGAAACUCCCAGUGCCCAUCGUGGAGGCCAAGUGCUGCCAACUCUGAUUGCUUCUGGAAUGCCAUUUCUUCCCUGCCCUUUCAAUAUUCUUGUUAUGCGACUCCUAUGAUCACUGCCAAUCUGUAGAAAAUUACAGGAUGAAUUUUUGUGAAGGACUGAAUUUGCAUACUGGUCUUUUGUUGUUUAUUGUUGGGGGGAUUUUGCUUUUUGCACACAAUUUCUGCACAUUUUAUUGGAAGUUAUUGGGUUAGAUUCAUCCCAUUCAUUCACUAGCCUGGCAUUGCUAUGCAUGUGCUGUAGGGGCUUAGCAUUAAACGAUUUUCUUUGUUCAGAUUUGGAUUGCUGUCUCUGCUUGCAAAUUAUUUUUCACAAUGACUCCUUCUUUUCCUUCUCUCUCUCUCUCUUUCUCUCUCUCUCUCUCUCACACACACACACAGACACACACACACACACACACACACACACACACACACACACACAGAUGAGGUUAGAUAUUUUUCCAUUGCCAAGUUCAGGACCCAUGAAUAC
rnacentral:lncRNA from 10 species